rnacentral:rRNA from 1 species
UACGUAGGGUCCGAGCGUUGUUCGGAAUUACUGGGCGUAAAGGGCUCGUAGGUGGCCAACUAAGUCAGACGUGAAAUCCCUCGGCUUAACCGGGGAACUGCGUCUGAUACUGGAUGGCUUGAGUUUGGGAGAGGGACGCGGAAUUCCAGGUGUAGCGGUGAAAUGCGUAGAUAUCUGGAGGAACACCGGUGGCGAAGGCGGCGUCCUGGACCAACACUGACACUGAGGAGCGAAAGCCAGGGGAGCAAACGGG